rnacentral:ncRNA from 1 species
UAUAAGUUUGAUUCUUGCUUAAAGAUUUUCUUUUUCAUUAAUUUAUAUGGGAUUUUUGAAAUUAUUGUAUUCCAGUAAUUAAUAUUAAUUUUUGACUUUGUAGUCGAAUUAGAAAUUGAAUAUAAUGGUAGGUUAAAAUUUGUGCCAGCAUCCGCGGUUACACAAUUUACCAAAGUUAAUCUUUUUGAAUUUAAUUUUAUUAUAAUUAAUGGAUAUAUUUUUAUUUACUUAGGUGGAAUUUGUAAUUAAACAUUAUUUUCUUAAUUUUAAUUUGUGAAAUUUUAAUUUAAGACUAGGAUUAGAUACCCUAUUAUGUAGAGUUUAAAGUCUAAUUCAGGAUGGUAAUAGUUAUUUUCUAUGAAGCUCAAAGAAUUUGGCGGUAAGAUACCUUUUUAGAGGAAUAUGUAAGUUAAUUGAUAAACCACGAUAGAAUCUACUUUAAUUAUAUUUGUAUACCGCUAUAUUUAGGAGUGUUUUUAUAGGAUAUUCUCUUUUUCUUUCUAGAUUUAUGUUAGGUCAAGGUGCAGUUUUAUUAAAGUUUUUAUGUAUUACUUUUAUAUUAAAAAUUUAGGAUUUUUUUCUUAUUAGGAUCAUUGAAUUAGGAUUUAAUAGUAAAUAAGGUUAAUUAGCUUUAUUGAAUUUAGCUCUAUUUUAUGCACAUAUCGCCCGUCACUCCUAAUUUAAGUUAGGAUAAGUCGUAACAAAGUAAUUCUACCGGAAGGUGGAGUUAGAAAGUG